rnacentral:lncRNA from 1 species
GUUACGGGAACCUACUCUCCUCUAACAAGCAGUGGAAAGACCGGGAAUCCAGCAUGAGCGCCCCAAGGUUUGUCUGAAGAUCAGAGGGCAGAGCCAGCCACUAGUUAACCAUAGAGGUCUGGAGGUCUGUAUGGACAGACAGGAAGUGAGAUGGCUGGACAGAGAGAGCAAGUGAUACAGCGGGAGGAGACUUCUGCUGGGAAAUUGAGUAGGUCAAGGAUACAGAGCACAUCUGCACCAGUACAGAAACUUCAGAAGCCUACAGUAAGCCUGGAAGUCUAGGGCCACCAUGCUACCUCCUCUCUGCAUUCCCAGAU